rnacentral:rRNA from 1 species
UACGUAGGCAGCGAGCGUUGUUCGGAGUUACUGAGCGUAAAGGGUGUGUAGGCGGUUGUUUAAGUUUGGUGUGAAAUCUCCCGGCUCAACUGGGAGGGUGCGCCGAAUACUGAAUGACUUCGAGUGCGGGAGAGGAGAGUGGAAUUCCUGGUGUAGCGGUGAAAUGCGUAGAUAUCAGGAGGAACACCGGUGGUGUAGACGGCUCUCUGGACCGUAACUGACGCUGAGACACGAAAGCGUGGGUAGCAAACAGG